GAGGCCUUAGCUUAAUUAAAGUGUCUGGUUUGCAUUCAGGAGAUGCGUUUUAGUAUUCGCAGGUCUUA
rnacentral:tRNA from 1 species